rnacentral:ncRNA from 1 species
UUUACCACGAAGAAUGGAUGAGUAACUAUGGCGGGAUGCCCAGAGAGUCGCUAAUUGCUGCGAAGCGACCUUCCUUAAAUAGCGAAGAUGGUCCGGGAGUGGUUGUUAGGUGAAGCUUUGAGCCUAGCACGCAGCCAUGCGUUAACAUGUUUGAGGCUAGGAUUUUCCUAGCGAAUUUGGGUGGUACCACGCUUAAAAUUUAAUUAUUAGCGUCCCUAGA